GAUGAACGCUGGCUACAGGCUUAACACAUGCAAGUCGAGGGGAAACGACGGGGAAGCUUGCUUCCCCGGGCGUCGACCGGCGCACGGGUGAGUAACGCGUAUCCAACCUGCCUCUGACUGAGGGAUAACCCGUCGAAAGUCGGCCUAAUACCUCAUGGUAUCGUCUGCGGGCAUCCAACGACGAUUAAAGAUUUCAUCGGUCAGGGAUGGGGAUGCGUCUGAUUAGCUUGUUGGCGGGGUAACGGCCCACCAAGGCUACGAUCAGUAGGGGUUCUGAGAGGAAGGUCCCCCACAUUGGAACUGAGACACGGUCCAAACUCCUACGGGAGGCAGCAGUGAGGAAUAUUGGUCAAUGGGCGAGAGCCUGAACCAGCCAAGUAGCGUGCAGGAAGACGGCCCUAUGGGUUGUAAACUGCUUUUAUGCGGGGAUAAAGUGAGGGACGUGUCCCUCAUUGCAGGUACCGCA
rnacentral:rRNA from 1 species